GUGAAUCAUCGAAUUUUUGAACGCAAAUUGCACUCUCCGGUUUUCCGGGAGAGUAUGCCUGUUUGAGGGUCAGCCUAAAAAAAAUCGACAUUGCUGCUGUUAUUUAAUGGUGACUUUCGUCGGAGAUUGGGUUAUCUUAAACCUUUUUUUUUUUUUGGUUUAAAGCGCUUAAAAUUUUUUUUUCCGAUUUCAUUAAACGUUUUAAGGUUUUUUUUUUUUUUAAGUUUUAGGGUUUAUCAUUUUUUUUUUAAAGUUGCC
rnacentral:misc_RNA from 1 species